GUGUAGAAUGAAGUGAAGCCAUUAGGUGGAACAGCGAAAAGCUCAGUAAUACAAUCAUUAUUUGGUCUACAAGAUAUAGAAUAACCUUGAUAAAUUAAGGCUAAAGCUAUUGUAGAAUAAGAGAUUGACCUAUCAGCUAGUAUGUAGGGUAAGGGCCUACGUAGGCGAUGACGGGUAACGGGGAAUUAGGGUUCUAUUCCGGAGAAGGAGGCUGAGAGAUGGCUACUAGGUCUAAGGAGAGCAGCAGGCGCGAAACUUACCCAAUGCUAUUUAGUAGUGUAGAGUGUAGUGAAUAUUUUAAUGGAGAGGCUAGUAAAGCAACCAUUGUAAUUCCAGCAAAUCUAUUACGAGUAUUGCUGCAAUUAAAAAGUUCGUAGUUGAUUAUUGUAAUAAUCUUGUGAUAAGUAUUAAAUUAUGAUUAAUGAAAGCCAUGGAAGGAAAUAGGAUUAAAUAGGGAGGGGUGAAAUCUGUAGAUCUAUUUAGGACUAACUGAAGCGAAAGCGAUUUUCUAUGUGGUAUUUGACAAUCAAGAACGAAAGCCGGAGUAUCGAAGACGAUUAGAGACCGUCGUAGUUCCGCGCAGUAAACUAUGUUAUAUUAUUUGUAGUNUAUAUGAGUAUAUAUUAUGGAUAUAUAGAAAUUAAGAUAUUAUGAACUUUGGGGAUAGUACGAACGCAAGUUUUAAACUUAAAUGAA
rnacentral:rRNA from 1 species